UACAUGAAUGAGAUUCUAUUAGAAGGCAAGCCAAAUAAGAAAGGAGUAAAUACCAAGCCUCUUCAUCUUCUUCCUCCCUAUAUCUCCUCUCGAUCAUGACACUUCUCGGUAAGGAUAGCACGAUCAUGUUCCUAGCAGCUCUUGCUGUCAUGGCCAUGGCUAUGAUAGUUUUGUCAUCAUCCUAUGCACAAGGUAAAUAUGACGUUAUAGAUAUCAGUAAGUAGAUAUACAUAGUUUCAUUCUCAUAUUCCAAGUUGACCUACUUUGUAUGUAGGAGUAUGACAAUUAACCAAUAUUUAUUAGCAGGAGAUUAUUGCCACCAGAUCGUACCAUGCAACGAGACGACUUGCAGCAAUUUCUGCUCGAAGAAUAACUUCAAGAACUUUGUGCCGAAUUGUGUGCCAGGAAAUAUGUACGACUAUUGUUGCUGCAACGUAACAACCAUGGGACUAGACUUUUGAUCAAAAUAUGCAUACAUAAAAAUUACUGUAGUAUGGAGCAUCUUCUUCUUGAAAAUUACAUGUAAACG
rnacentral:lncRNA from 1 species